AAUGAGUCUUUAAAGGUUGAAGGUUACUGACCCCUGAUCCAUACCAUGACACCACCACCACCAGCCUGAACCAUUGAUACAGGACAGGAUGGAUCCAUGCUUUCAUGUUGUUGUCACCAUCAGAAUGGAGCAGAAACAGACUCAUCGGACCAGACGACGUUUUUCCAUCUUCUAUUGUCCAGUGUUGAGAUGUUCUCAGGUGGAACCAGUGGUUAUGGAACCAGUCCGACCAGUCUCCUCUGACAUCAAGACAUUUCCACCCUCAAAACUGCAGUUCUGGACAUUUUCUCUCUUCUGACCAUUCUCCGUGAACCCUAGAGAUGGUUGUGGGUGAAAAAGACAAAACCAGCCGUGCGGUUUGCUGGUUCCGUGUCCUGGUCCAGCCCUCCCUCCGGGUUAAAAAGAGGCUGAAAUUCCCACGGUGAUGAAACACACCACAGAGAUGUGUUUCAGCGAUAGAUGAAAUGCAGAAACCACAUGUGGGUACAGAUCGGAGGCCUGAUGACGGCUCAGAGCAGCGGAACAGAGGAAGUGGCAUUUUCUGUCCGAGCUGCUGACCAAUGACACGUGAGGCUGGAGGUACACACCAAAAAGCAGAACCAGGACAAAACCAACCCAGCCGAGAGGAAGAGCUGGAACCUGUGAAACCGGGGCUUCCUCCAUGCUGGUCUGGAGGAUUCGGGUCAGGGGUGGGGUGGGGGUGGGGGGUAGAGUCCCUGCACACACCCCUGCCAGCUUCUGAUUGGCUGAACACACCUGAUCAGUGGUGAGGAUCUGGAUGUUUGGGAAACAUGGAGGAUUUUUUAGAUUCUUUCAAACACUUUUUACACAUUUGUUUAGAAAUACUUCAAUAAUCUAAAUGUGUUUUAAAUCCAUGUAUGUUUAUCUGAUCCAGUUCACAGACUGUAGCAUGAAAUAAUGAGAUUGUUAAUAGCAUACGGUGUCACAUGGAUUCUCACUCACAUACUUAGAACCACUUUUAUUUACAUGUGUGUAACAAAAUCAGAAUAUCGACCCAGCGUCCCUCACUUUAAAUAUUCAAGUACUUCACUUGUUUUCAUGGAUUUUUGCUUUCAAAUUUUUUUUGUUUAGUUUUGAAUUUUUUUAAAUCAUUUUUACUUUUUCCUGUUUUGUUUUCCAUGGUGAUAUAAACAUUUCACCAUGGUGAUAUAAACAUUUCAAAACUCAAACUGGGGAGUGAGGAGACAAGGAACCACGAAAGAGCAUCACUCCAGCGGUAGUUCAAUCAUUUAUGUAUUACUGAGAUUCAUCUGGAGUUUCUAUUAACUCCAGUGAAUGUCUGUGAUGGAGUUCAGACUCUUUGUGUUGUAGAUAAAAUGUCUGGGGUGUAAUUUGUUGACGGUCCCUGUUUGUCUCCGAAGUGUUUGGACUGUUUUUACAGAAGAACAUGAACUUUAUCCUGGACACGCUGAGGAGUUUAGUCCAUCUGGGGAUCAGUUUGUCUGCUUACAUUUCUAGUUCCUCAUUUAUCUGAAAAAAUAUCUUGGAAAACACACUUUUUAAAUAAACCAAUAAAAAAAAAA